ensembl:lncRNA
AAUAAUCCCGAACGCGGUAUGGGUUGGAUGCCAUUUAUUUUUGGGUGUAUCUUUUGUUCGCUGUUUUUGCCUCAGUUAGGGAGUCAGACUGGGGUCGUAACAUAAAUUGGGGACCCUGUAAAGUCAUCUGUGAGGCCCUUGUUGUGGCUGUAUGUAGGUAUUUCCUACCUGUGUGGUGACGUGAGUUCAAGCUCGAAAAUUUCAUGAUGUUGUGGAUCUUGCUGAUACUUUCCUACAGUCUUCUAAUGCUAAUAAAGGUUGCUCUGCCCCAAUUCGACGUGCUGCACCGGGAUUUGAGAGGAGAAGAUUGUGUGUCGAAGACCGAUAUGUCGGGAGGAAUGUGGAUGUGUGGUUUGUCUGUGAUUGUGUGCAUACUAUUGAGUAGCGAAUAUUUUUCCCGGUGUUUGAGUGAGAUCGCUUGCUAGUUUUAUUGUGUGUGAGUGAAAGAAGUGAGUGGUAGGAUCUUGUGUUGUCCCAUUCCCCCGUUUUGUCUUGUGUUGUGGCUGAGUGUAUGCCUCUAUUAUAAAUAUCAUUAUUAUUAUUAUUAUUAUUAUUAUUAUUAUUAUUAUGGCUAGGUAAUUUAAAUUGAUACGGGACAAGAUAGUGACUGUUCUGUUUAUUAUUUUGGCCUUGCCCAGCCCUGAAGAGAUUUGCUUUCUUAGUGAUUGUUUUGGAUUUUUUCUUUUUUCUUUCUCAUCAUUAAACUUGUAAGAUUCCAAAGAUUUUGAAA